AGUGAACGCUGGCGGUAGGCCUAACACAUGCAAGUCGAACGGCAGCACAGUAAGAGCUUGCUCUUACGGGUGGCGAGUGGCGGACGGGUGAGGAAUACAUCGGAAUCUACUUUUUCGUGGGGGAUAACGUAGGGAAACUUACGCUAAUACCGCAUACGACCUACGGGUGAAAGCAGGGGAUCUUCGGACCUUGCGCGAUUGAAUGAGCCGAUGUCGGAUUAGCUAGUUGGCGGGGUAAAGGCCCACCAAGGCGCCGAUCCGUAGCUGGUCUGAGAGGAUGAUCAGCCACACGGGAACGGAGACACGGUCCAGACUCCUACGGGAGGCAGCAGUGGGGAAUAUUGGACAAUGGGCGCAAGCCUGAUCCAGCCAUACCGCGUGGGUGAAGAAGGCCUUCGGGUUGUAAAGCCCUUUUGUUGGGAAAGAAAAGCAGCAGGUUAAUACCCCGCUGUUCUGACGGUACCCAAAGAAUAAGCACCGGCUAACUUCGUG
rnacentral:rRNA from 1 species